rnacentral:rRNA from 1 species
CCGUAGGGUGAACUUGCGGAAGGAUCAUUG